rnacentral:rRNA from 1 species
CAAUAGCGUAUAUUAAAGUUGUUGCAGUUAAAAAGCUCGUAGUUGGAUUUCUGGUUGGAGCGACCGGUCGGGCAUUGAUUUGUCUGCACUGGAGUCGGUUCUGGCCAUCCUCUUGGAAAGUGCGUCUGUCAUUAAGUUGUCGGGCGUAUGAUCCAGGUCUUUUACUGUGAAAAAAUUAGAGUGUUUAAAGCAGGCCUUCGCCUUGAAUACAUUAGCAUGGAAUAAUGAGAUAGGACUUUGGUCUAUUUUGUUGGUUUGCAGACCGAAGUAAUGAUUAAUAGGGAUAGUUGGGGGUAUUUAUAUUCCAAUGUCAGAGGUGAAAUUCUUAGAUUUUUGGAAGAUAAACUUAUGCGAAAGCAUUUACCAAGGAUGUUUUCAUUAA